GAUGAAGAACGUAGCGAAAUGCGAUAAGUAAUGUGAAUUGCAGAAUUCAGUGAAUCAUCGAAUCUUUGAACGCACAUCGCGCCCGCCAGUAUUCUGGCGGGCAUGCCUGUUCGAGCGUCAUUUCAACCAUCAAGCCCCCGGCUUGUGUUGGGGACCUGCGGCUGCCGCAGGCCCUGAAAACCAGUGGCGGGCUCGCUAGUCACUCCGAGCGUAGUAAUACAUCUCGCUCAGGGCGUGCUGCGGGUUCCGGCCGUUAAAAAGCCUUAUUUACCCAAGGUUGACCUCGGAUCAGGUAGGAAGACCCGCUGAACUUAAGCAUAUCAAUAAGCGGAGGA
rnacentral:misc_RNA from 1 species